AACUGCCAAUAGCUCCUUAGUAAGGAUGGGAACGCCCACUUUCCCCUUUUGCGACAGAAUUUCUGACUGACCUGAUCCUUUGCAAGGCUUGUCAACCUCUGUGAGUUCAUAUGUGCAGCUGUCCUGCAGUCUCCAGAAAAUGCUGUUUCCUUUACAGACAGGAGUAAGCUGUCCUCUGAGAGGUUCCACCUAGCAGCUGGCUGAGACAGAUGCAGAUACACAUACCCAAACACUGGACUCGGAGACUCUAUGGAAGAGAGAGAGGAAAACUGAAAACCCUGAAGGGAAUAGGAACUCCACAGGAAGACCAACAAAGCCAGGAAGAACAGAUUGAUGAGGCUGCCCCUGGGAUUCUGUCGGAACCACUGCACACUGUUCAUGGUGGUAGAAAAAUUGCAUCUCAGACCAGAGCCAGCUCCCUCAUGAAGACUCAGGGCUUCAGGAUUCUGUUCCACCUGUAUUCCUCUCACCCCUGCUCAGAGAGGGAAAAAUAAACUAUAUG